UUGACUGCAUACUAUCUCACUUUAUGAAUGUACCCAGAUUACCCAUUUUUAUCUUAAUUAACAUUUGGAUUAUUUCUGUAUUGGCAAUUAUAAACAGUACUGCAGUGAACAUCUUUGUGUAGGUGAAUGAGAUCAUCUAGGAAUGGAAUUUCUAAAUGAUUUAUUAUGCAACUCUUCGGUGUUAUUGGCUACAGUCAAAUUUGUCUUUAAAGGAGCUGAAACAUCAGCAUUAUAUGAGAAUUUCCAUUCCCUAAAAGCAUGACUGUAUUUGUUUUGUCUUUGUGUUUUGCUAAUCCAUGUAUGUGCAAUAGUGUCACAUUUUAGUUGAUUACUUUCAAGAUCAGACAACUUUGGAUAUGUUUUUGGGAUGUUUGAGCUUCUUCUCUGAGGGUGAAUUUUUCUACUAAUAUAGGNNNNNNNNNNGUGCUGCUGGAUUCGGUUUGCCAGUAUUUUAUUGAGGAUUUUUGCAUCAAUGUUCAUCAAGGAUAUUGGUCUAAAAUUCUCUUUUUUGGUUGUGUCUCUGCCUGGCUUUGGUAUCAGGAUGAUGCUGGCCUCAUAAGCCAGUGUUCACUCAAGGCCCAAGGGCUGUUCAGUCAGCAGGUGGUAAAUCCAACUAGGCUUGUGUCCCCCUCUUCAUGGCAGUGAGCUCCCCUCCCCAGCACAGGGAGGGCCCACAAAUGCUACCUGGAAGCCAGGGCCUGGAGUUGGGAACCUUAGGAAUCUACUUGAUACUCUAUGCUACUGUGGCUGAGC
rnacentral:lncRNA from 1 species